CCAAUUUUAAGAAACCCAUUGAUUAAAUAAUUCAGUGAUCGAACCCUAAAAAAACCCUCUUCUUCACAUCCCGCUCUUUUGUUCGUUUUUCUCCUUCCUUGAUAACGACCACGAUGCCAUGGAAUCACCAGCCUCGAACCACCGGCCUGUGACCCGCUUCACCCCCUCCUCCCACAACCGGCAUGACACCCAAGCGUCCGACGGUAUCUUUCCUAUGUUGUCUCUUCUCCCGAAAUUCCAGUAAAUACGAAACUUGCUGGUUCCUGCCGAUAGCUUUUACUUAUAUCCAAUUUUUGGAAUGAAAUUGUUUACGGAUUGUGGAAGUUUCUACAUUUCCUGAAGGUAAUCCUAGGUAAAUCGAGCAGGUUGUACGUCAAUAUUUUGGAUGGGCAAUUAAAAUUUCCUAAAAGCGGGGUUCGAAUCCACGGUCCACGUUCCUUCCGGCGCAUCAAUCACGCUUAUUCACAGUUGUAAAUGAGAUAUUGCGGCUUUCAUGAACCGUUUGCUAUAUCAUCAUUUUUUACAGUGAUGGAAAAUAAACCGCCACUUUACCCGCACGACGAGGACAUGUUCGACGAGGCAAAGCAGAACGCAGCCAGGUGUAAAGACCGUGACGAACAACCACUGUUGCCAGAUAAUCGACAGACUAUUUCGUCAGGGACUUUUCAGUAAAAAAAAUAUGGUUCAUACGCGUAUUUUGUGUUUACCUAUGUAGGAAAUCACGAGGUAAAGCUCAGUGGUUGACGUGUUGUGUUUUGUUGUGAAGUGCCACCGCUGGUCUCAGUAAACAAAUUCGAAAGAUCGUCACCUCAAAAUUUUACAGAUGGGUGUAUAACAUGGUUUGAAGUUCCAAGUGAUACACGGGAUCGAUGGUUUCAAUGUUCAUGAUUAGUUAAUUUAUAUCGCUGGGACGCUACGGAUGAGGGGAACAUUCGGACCCUAUUUGAGAGAAAAGGGUCGACGAAAUUUAUCGCGGGCUUUAAGGGACGCCCGAAAUAAAUUAAAGCUGUCAUAAUGGCUCAAGCCAGAGUUGCACGCCGGCAUGAUUAGCAAGUUUACAAGCCCGGAGUAUCUAAAAAUUCGGGAGCGCAACAAGGAAAACAAGAUUAAAAAUAAGGAUGCAUUGUUGAAUAAGUAUAGAGGCGGAGCGUGGUUGAUGGAUAUUGUACAAAAAAAAUGGAAGAGAAUUUGGGUCGACCUCCCUCUACAAUUGAGCUCUAUGACCGUUGGAAACAAAAGGAUGGAACGUAUCCUUCUACGAAGCUAGCCGAGAUAGUGGGGCUAUGAUAAGAAAGGUCGAGUGGCAGGGCUCGGCUCACAAGGGAGCACCGCAAGAGUAGUAUUAUGUGGAUCUAGUUCGCGUGCCGUCCAUAACACCCCACAGACUCACAUCUACCCUUCGGAAAUAGAGAUGGAAGCUCAACAAGAAGCUUUGAGACAGACCUAAAAUGCUCUUCAACGUCAGGAAAUGAUGAUGAUACAAGUGCAACGGAGUGUUGCGAUAAUAUUGGAGGCUUUUGUGUCAAAAAAAAAAACCCAACACCGGGCUUUUAUUUCCACUUCUU